rnacentral:lncRNA from 1 species
AAAACCACCAUCCCUUCUUGCCCUACCACUGCAGAUCAGGGAAUCAGGUGAUAAGAAUGAAGAAUAGGUGACUGAGCCAAGAGUGAGAGAAAAAACUAAUAUAUAUUGCAUUCCUGCUAUAUGCCAAGCGUUAUGCUGCAUUAUCCAACAAAUAUUGCCACAUGCCUACCAUAUGCCAGAACUAUUUUAAACACUGGGGUUACAAAGUGACUCCAUCUACUAAAGAAUAAAACAUUAGAGCACUGGUUCUCUCCACUAAUCAACCGUCAUAGCCUUGGAAGUGAACUACCCCAAAUCUCGCAUCAUCAGAAUUAAUACUGUUUUAUACACCAAACAGAUUCCUUCCUCCCAGAGUUAGCACUGUAACUGAGGCCCUGAAGGCUGGUAAAGAACUGAUUGUCCCCUCAGACUGGUCACUCAACACUGGUCUGGCAGCUGCUACACUUCCCAACCUUUCUGGAGUUAUGUACGGCUAUAUGGCUAAGUUCUGCCCAAUGGGAUGUAAACAGAAGUAUGAACAAUAUCAGACAUGUUCUGAUACAUACUUUUCUCAACCUAGCAUGAGUUCUCACUCCAGCUUAAGAACUGGCUGUAUUGAUCCACCCCACAUUACUUCCUUUCUUCUAGAGUCUACAUAGAUAUUACUGCCUAUAUUGUUCAUCUUAAUUAUG